rnacentral:lncRNA from 1 species
AGGCUACAUUACAACAUCUCUAUGACACUCUUCAGACUCCUAUUUUAAAAUAAAUAAAAUUGUGUAAAAUUGUAUGUUGUAAGAAACAAGUGUAACCAGUUGAUUUUUUUAAAUGAGCCAGUUGGUAUUUUUUUAAUGAGAUGUUCUCCUAAAACUUACUGAAUAAUGCCCGUAUAUAACAUGCUAAUACCUGUGAAUUAUACAGGUAAUGAUAUAUAACAAAUGGCUUAAAAUUAAGAUUAUAUUAAAAUGGAAUCAGUCUUUCCAGUGAGGAAUUUAAAGAAAUGAUGUGCAACCACCCUUACGACUCUAAUGCACCUUUGUGUCUUACAAUUUAGUCUUUUCUUUUGUAAUCAAUGCAUUAUACCUGUGUGUUCUCUUUUUUUACAGUUCAGCAGAAGAGCAGUUUCAUUGGCAGUCACAAGAUGGUCAAAAAGAUAUUGAAGAUGAGCUGACCACAGGCUUGGAGCUGGUGGAUUCCUGCAUUCGGUCACUACAGGAGUCAGGAAUACUUGACCCACAGGAUUAUGCGACAGGUGAAAGGCCCAGCCUGCUCUCCCAGAGUGCACUUCAGCUCAAUUCCAAACCUGAAGGGUCUUUCCAGUAUCCGGCCAGCUACCAUAGCAACCAGACUUUGGCCCUGGGUGACACAACCCCCUCCCAGCUCCCACCCCGCAGCGGCGCUCAAGCCCGGGCUGCCGGCCAGAGCUUCAGCCAGGUAGGUGCCUUUGCCGUCUUCUGUCUGAGGGGCUCCAAGGGGGACAGGGACGGGUGAGCAAGGGAC